UACAGAGGGGGCAAGCGUUGUUCGGAAUUACUGGGCGUAAAGGGCGCGUAGGCGGCCUGUUAAGUCGAACGUGAAAUCCCCGGGCUCAACCCGGGAACUGCGUCCGAUACUGGCAGGCUUGAAUCCGGGAGAGGGAUGCGGAAUUCCAGGUGUAGCGGUGAAAUGCGUAGAUAUUUGGAGGAACACCGGUGGCGAAAGGCGGCAUCCUGGACCGGUAUUGACGCUGGAGGCGCGAAAGCCAGGGAGCAAACGGG
rnacentral:rRNA from 1 species